CUUCUCGCGCAGCGCCAGCACCGUCCCCGAGACACCAUGGUGAAAGUGAAGGCCGGAAUAAAUGGCUUCGGCCGUAUUGGGCGCCUGGUCACCAGGGCUGCUUCUAACUCUGGCAAAGUGGACAUUGUCGCCAUCAAUGACCCCUUCAUUGACCUCAACUACAUGGUCUACGUGUUCCAGUAAGACUCCACCCACGGCAAGUUCCAUGGCACAGUCAAGGCGGAGGAUGGGAAGCUUGUCAUCAAUGGCUAUUCCAUAACCAUCUUCCAGGAGCAAGAUCUCACCAAAAUCAAAUGGGGGGAAGUGGGCGCCGAUUACGUUGUGGAGUCCACGGGCGUGUUCACCACCCUGGAGAAGGCCGGGGCUCACCUAGAUGGGGGUGCCAAGAGGGUCAUCAUCUCUGCCCCCUCUGCUGACGCCCCCAUGUUUGUGAUGGGCGUGAACCACGACAAGUACCAAAACAACCUCACCAUCGUCAGCAAUGCCUCCUGCACCACCAACUGCUUCGCCCCUGGCAUCGUGGAGGGACUCAUGACCACAGUCCAUGCCGUCACCGCCACCCAGAAGACCGUGGAUGGCCCGUCUGGGAAGAUGUGGCGUGAUGGCCGUGGGGCUCUCCAGAACAUCAUUCCUGCGUCGACUGGCGCAGCCAAGGCCAUGGGCAAGGUCAUCCCCGAGCUGAACGGGAAGCUCACUGGCAUGGCCUUCCGCGUCCCCACUGCCAACAUGUCGGUGGUGGACCUGACCUGCCAUCUGGAGAAGCCGGCCAAGUAUGAUGACAUCAAGAAGGUGGUGAAGCAGGCGGCGGAUGGCCCCCUCAGGGGCAUCCUGGGCUACACUGAGCACCAACCAGGUUGUCUCCUCCGACUUCAACAGUGACACCCACUCUUCCACCUUUGAUGCUGGUGCUGGCAUCGCCCUCAAUGACCACUUUGUAAAGCAGCCCUGA